UACGUAGGGGGCGAGCGUUAUCCGGAUUUACUGGGCGUAAAGCGCGCUAAGGCGGCCGGCUAAGUUGGUGGUGAAAUUUCGGGGCUCAACCCCGAAACUGCCUCCAAUACUGGUCGGCUCGAGUGCGGGAGAGGAAGGUGGAAUUCCCGGUGUAGUGGUGAUAUGCGUAGAUAUCGGGAGGAACACCUGUGGCGAAGGCGGCUUUCUGGGCCCUACCUGACGCUGAGACGCGAAAGCGUGGG
rnacentral:rRNA from 1 species